rnacentral:rRNA from 1 species
CCUACGGGUGGCAGCAGUGAGGAAUAUUGGUCAAUGGACGAGAGUCUGAACCAGCCAAGUAGCGUGAAGGAUGACUGCCCUAUGGGUUGUAAACUUCUUUUAUAUGGGAAUAAAACGUUCCACGUGUGGGAUUUUGUAUGUAACAUAUGAAUAAGGAUUGGCUAACUCCGUGCCAGCAGCCGCGGUAAUACGGAGGAUCCGAGCGUUAUCCGGAUUUAUUGGGUUUAAAGGGCGCGUAGGUGGAUUGUUAAGUCAGUUGUGAAAGUUUGCGGCUCAACCGUAAAAUUGCAGUUGAAACUGGCAGUCUUGAGUACAGUAGAGGUGGGCGGAAUGCGUGGUGUAGCGGUGAAAUGCUUAGAUAUCACGAAGAACUCCGAUUGCGAAGGCAGUUCACUGGACUGCAACUGACACUGAGGCUCGAAAGUGUGGGUAUCAAACAGGAUUAGAUACCCCUGUAGUC